AGGCGUCGGCAUUGUCCAGAGAGUACACCUGCGCACAGAUAACAACGCAACGGAGACGGAGUUUGGCUUUUGCUCGAAGAAGGGUCCCCGUGUUAGUCCUGCUACAAUUGGCCAACACUUCCCGUAUGGCCCUUGGCCCAUCCAAAUGGGGAAUGUGCAUCAGCGUGUGGGCGGGGCUAUGAAGCACCACGGUGCCUGGAGCGGAAACUCACUGUCUCAGAUUUAACAACG